AUGACAUGGUGGACAGCGGGAAGCGGUGGGGAGAAGCGAGCGGCAGUCGACAGGGAGAGCCACGAUGAUGGCCGGCUUCAGCUGCCACUUCCUCCCCUCGUCGGCGCCGCGAGGCCACUGAGCCCACGCCCGAGCUUCCCGUCCGUGAGCAAUCGCUCCGCCCACCGGCCGUCCCCCAUCCGUGUGCUUCUUCUCGGGACGUCGAUGCCACGGAGCUCGUCAAGCUCCCUCUCUGCCGCUGCAGGAGGAUUGGAUUGGAUUGGUUUGUACUUGCUCUAUUAUCUAUUUGAGAAUCUGAGAUGCGGCCCUCCAAAUCUUCGGCCCCAGAAGGAGGAUUUGAGAGUGGAGAAGGGUCACCUGAAUGUGAUUUGGAGGAAGGAGUUGUCCAGGAAUCAAAAUGUUAUUAUUUUACUAUUCUGCAGGGGAGAAUCUAAAGAUUAUUUGUUUCUUUUUAUGCCUGCAGAUCGUGUUUAG
rnacentral:rRNA from 1 species